GACGAACGCUGGCGGCGUGCUUAACACAUGCAAGUCGAACGGUGAAGCGCCUUCCUUUUUGGUGGGUGUGGAUGAGUGGCGAACGGGUGAGUAACACGUGAGUAACCUGCCCCCUUCUUCUGGAUAACCGCAUGAAAGUGUGGCUAAUACGGGAUAUUCUGGGUCUGUCGCAUGAUGGGUCUGGGAAAGAUAUUGUUUCGGUUGGGGAUGGGCUCGCGGCCUAUCAGCUUGUUGGUGGGGUGAUGGCCUACCAAGGCGGUGACGGGUAGCCGGCCUGAGAGGGUGGACGGUCACACUGGGACUGAGACACGGGCCAGACUCCGACGGGAGGCGGCAGUGGGGAAUAGUGCACGAUGGGCGCAAGACUGAUGCAGCGACGCCGCGUGAGGGAUGGAGGCCUGCGGGUUGUGAACCUCUUUCGCCAGUGAAGCAGGCCUGCCUCGUUUGUGGGUGGGUUGACGGUAGCUGGAUAAGAAGCGCCGGCUAACUACGUG
rnacentral:rRNA from 1 species